rnacentral:rRNA from 1 species
UACGGAGGAUGCGAGCGUUAUCCGGAUUUAUUGGGUUUAAAGGGUGCGUAGGCGGUAUGGUAAGUCAGCGGUAAAAUUUCGGGGCUCAACCCCGUCGUGCCGUUGAAACUGGCGUUCUUGAGUGAGCGAGAGGUAUGCGGAAUGCGUGGUGUAGCGGUGAAAUGCAUAGAUAUCGCGCAGAACUCCGAUUGCGAAGGCAGCAUACCGGCGCCCGACUGACGCUGAGGCACGAAAGCGUGGGGAUCGAACAGG